rnacentral:rRNA from 1 species
UCGCUGACCGCACGGUCUCGCACCGGCGGCGCAUCUUUCAAAUGUCUGCCUUAUCAACUUUCGAUGGUAGUUUAUGCGCCUACCAUGGUUGUAACGGGUAACGGAGAAUAAGGGUUCGACUCCGGAGAGGGAGCCUGAGAAACGGCUACCACAUCCAAGGAAGGCAGCAGGCACGCAAAUUACCCACUCCCGGUACGGGGAGGUAGUGACGAAAAAUAACGAGACGGUUCUCUACGAGAUUCCGUCAUCGGAAUGGGUACAAUCUAAAUCCUUUAACGAGGAUCUAUUGGAGGGCAAGUCUGGUGCCAGCAGCCGCGGUAAUUCCAGCUCCAAAAGCGUAUAUUAAAGUUGUUGCGGUUAAAAAGCUCGUAGUUGGAUCUGCGUCUUGAACUAGUGGU